ACGUCAUAUGUUUUUUUACUUUCGUUUUCAACAAAAUGGCCGAUCGUCACAGUUAUUUUGAAGUGUCAAACAAGUUUGUGUCUUGGGGUUAAAAUAGAAUCAGUCAUUGUGAGAAAUUUUGAUUACACUUAAGAGCUGCCAGAGCUAAAACAGCUAAUAAAGAAGCUUUUGACAACUUCUUCUCAUGAUCUGCUUAAUUGAUCUUCACAUUGAAUUGUCAACCUGUGUGCUACAUUGUAUGACUUUGGGCAAAUAAAGAUUCUGUAAUCAGUGUUAUAACUUUCAUUAAACAAGAUGAAUCGGUGUUACAGAAAUGGAUAACUUACAGAAAUAAACAACUUCAGGCUUUCACAGAAACCACACAUUGUUUGUGACUAUGAAAAUGUUUACCUUCAUAAGGCCUAAUACAAUUCUUUGUUUCCGGUAACAUGCUCAACAAAAUUAGGGUAGGUAGGUCGGAAAUGGUUUUUUUUUUUUUUGGAAUUUUUUGUUAUUAAGGGAGACUUUUCAGAAAAUAUUUUUGUGUCAAAAAUGAAUACAAACAAGGGGGUUAUGUCUUUAGAGCAUCAGUAAGUUGAUUUUUUAACAUCACUGAGCAUGUUUAAAGCAUAAAAAGUUUUGCAAUUUUUUGCUUAAAAGUUGAAAAAUUUCUCCAAGGCCAUAAAAACAUUUAGGGUCGGCCCAAACAUUUAGGGUAGGUCGGGAUACCGAAAACAAACAAUUUUUUUACGUCUAGUGGAACUCAUACCACAAAGAAAAAAACUUUAUUUAUCUUAUUUCUUAUAACAAGUCCUCAAAGACAUACCCAAUUAAACUACAACAGGAAAGCGAACAAAGUUGAUUCAGGAUUUAAAAUGGAAAAAAAAUUGAGUGAAAACAGUGGACAAAAGGAAUUUAAUUACAAGGAUUUGAAUUAGUGUGUCAAGGAGUGAUUUGUUUUUAAUUCAUAACAUGAGUUAUUGACAAUGCUCUAAAAUAUAAAUAGAAUGUGUGAAUACAGGCUCUCAUUAAAAAGCUAUUGUAUAAUAUUACUUGACUUAUCAAAUAUCAUUUUGUCAAUUUUAUCACGGUACUUAUCACUGAUAAUAACUCUUUACAAUGUUUCAAGUACUCAUCAUCUUCAGCUAUUUUGAAAGAAUUACAGGGUUUAUAUUAUAUCAAAUGUGUUGUUAUUAGUCCCCUUACUUUUGAAAGUGAGUUUUCUUAAUACAUAUAGGAUUCUGCUGUAUCCGUCUGUCGGCCAGUCCAGUAAACAUUAACAAAACAAAAAAUGUCUAAGAAAUGAAAUAAAAAAUAAUAAUAACAAAACAAGUUAAAAGUUUGAAAACAUUUUAUUUGUUUUGUUAAUGAUUGCUUUUAAUUCAUUUUAGGAAGACAUUUUCAUGAACAUUUUCACUUUAAGUGAUAUAAACAAAACUCCAUUUUGUACAUGCCUUUAUUAUAUUAAAUUUAUAAAUAUAUCUGUUUACUAUC